UACGUAGGUGACCAGCGUUGUCCGGAUUUAUUGGGCGUAAAGAGCUCGUAGGCGGUCUGUUGCGUCCGCUGUGAAAACUCGGGGCUUAACCCCGAGCCUGCAGUGGAUACGGGCAGACUAGAGGUAGGUAGGGGAGAAUGGAAUUCCCGGUGUAGCGGUGAGAUGCGCAGAUAUCGGGAGGAACACCGGUGGCGAAGGCGGUUCUCUGGGCCUUACCUGACGCUGAUGCGCGAAAGCGUGGGGAGCAAACAGG
rnacentral:rRNA from 1 species